GAUGAACGCUGGCGGCGUGCCUAAUACAUGCAAGUCGAGCGAACGGACGAGACGCUUGCUUCUCUGAUGUUAGCGGCGGACGGGAGAGUAACACGAGUAUAACCCACCUAUAAGACUGGGAUAACUACGGGAAACCGUAGCUAAUACCGGAUAAUAUUUUGAACCGCAUGGUUCAAAAGUGAAAGACGGCCUUGCUGUCACUUAUAGAUGGAUCCGCGCUGCAUUAGCUAGUUGGUAAGUAAACGGCAUACGAAGGCGGCGAGGCAUAGCCGACCUGAGAGGGUGGUCGGCCGCACGGGAAGUGGGACGCGGUCCAUACUCCUACGGGAGGCAGCAGAAGGGAAUCGUCCGCAAUGGGCGGAAACCUGACGGAGCAACGCCACGUGAGUGAUGACGGUCUUCGGAUCGUGAUACUCUGUUAUUAGGGAAAAACAUCUGUGUAAGGAGCUGUGCCCAUCUUGACGGUAAUUAGUCAGAAAGCCCCGGCUAACUACGUG
rnacentral:rRNA from 1 species